AGUGAACGCUGGCGGCGUGCUUAACACAUGCAAGUCGAACGAGAACGGAAUAUAGCUUGCUAUAUUUGUCAGCUAAGUGGCGCACGGGUGAGUAAUGUAUAGAUAACCUGCCCUUAAGAAAGGAAUAACAGUUGGAAACGACUGCUAAUGCCCUAUAUGCCUUUAAUACAUAAGUAUGCAAGGGAAACGCUUUAGUGCUUAAGGAUGGGUCUGUAUGGUAUCAGCUUGUUGGUGAGGUAAUGGCUCACCAAGGCUAUGACGCCUAACUGGUUUGAGAGGAUGAUCAGUCACACUGGAACUGAUACACGGUCCAGACUCCUACGGGAGGCAGCAGUGGGGAAGAUUGCACAAUGGACGAAAGUCUGAUGCAGCAACGCCGCGUGGAGGAUGACACAUUUCGGUGCGUAAACUCCUUUUAUAUAGGAAGAUAAUGACGGUACUAUAUGAAUAAGCACCGGCUAACUCCGUGCCAGCCGCCGCGGUAA
rnacentral:rRNA from 1 species